UGGGGAAUCUUGCGCAAUGGGCGAAAGCCUGACGCAGCGACGCCGCGUGAGGGAAGAAGGCCUUCGGGUUGUAAACCUCUUUCAGGAGGGACGAAGCCACUCGGGUUAAUAGCCCAGAGGGUGACGGUACCUCCAGAAGAAGCCCCGGCUAACUACGUGCCAGCAGCCGCGGUAAUACGUAGGGGGCUAGCGUUGUCCGGAUUUAUUGGGCGUAAAGAGCGUGUAGGCGGCCAGGUAGGUCUGCUGUGAAAAUCUCGAGGCUCAACCUCGAGACGUCGGCGGAAACCAUCUGGCUAGAGUCCGGAAGAGGAGAGUGGAAUUACUGGUGUAGCGGUGAAAUGCGCAGAUAUCAGGAAGAACACCCGUGGCGAAGGCGGCUCUCUGGGACGGUACUGACGCUGAGACGCGAAAGCGUGGGGAGCGAACAGGAUUAGAUACC
rnacentral:rRNA from 1 species